rnacentral:ncRNA from 1 species
UUGGGAGAAGCUUAGAUGUUCUUAAAACUCUAUUCAAUACACAGCCAUAGCCGACACGGAUGUCGGCUAAGAUGCCACCGCCCAUGGAAGGGCGAUUGGCAUCGAUGGCGGAUAUUAAUGUUAAAUUUUAUGAGAGUUUUUAGAACAUCUUGC